GUGCUCGCUUCGGCAGCACAUAUGCUAAAAUUGGAACGAUACAGAGAAGAUUAGCAUGGCCCCUGCUCAAGGAUGACACACAAAUUCGUGAAGCGUUCCAUAGUUUU
rnacentral:snRNA from 1 species